ACAGAAGUGUGAAGAUUUAAAGAUGCGAAUCGGUUGCGGACGGUCAUGCGUUCCAUUAGCUAGUUGGCGGGGUAACGGCCCACCAAGGCGACGAUGGAUAGGGGUUCUGAGAGGAAGGUCCCCCACACUGGUACUGAGACACGGACCAGACUCCUACGGGAGGCAGCAGUGAGGAAUAUUGGUCAAUGGGCGAGAGCCUGAACCAGCCAAGUCGCGUGAGGGAAGACGGCCCUAUGGGUUGUAAACCUCUUUUAGAUGGGAGUAAAGUGUUCUACGAGUAGGAUAUUGCAAGUACCAUCAGAAUAAGCAUCGGCUAAUUCCGUGCCAGCAGCCGCGGUAAUACGGAAGAUGCGAGCGUUAUCCGGAUUUAUUGGGUUUAAAGGGUGCGUAGGCGGGUGAUUAAGUCAGCGGUGAAAUGCGUCAGCUUAACUGGCGAACUGCCAUUGAAACUGGUUACCUUGAGUGUAGCGGAAGUAUGCGGAAUGCGUGGUGUAGCGGUGAAAUGCAUAGAUAUCACGCAGAACUCCGAUUGCGAAGGCAGCAUACCAUACUAUAACUGACGCUGAAGCACGAAAGCGUGGGUAUCGAACAGGAUUAGAUACCCUGGUAGUCCACGCAGUA
rnacentral:rRNA from 1 species